rnacentral:lncRNA from 1 species
AAAAUGGAGAGGAUGAAGGAUGAGGACUUAAUGGGGCAGCAAAGAGGUGAAUAAGAGAAGUGUAAUGAAAAGGAGAGACGACAGUAGAAUGGAGCGAGAGGGAGAGUGCGUGAGAGAGGAGGAGGUUGUAUGGUGCAAAAUAAGCUGCCUCCUCUUUCCACAUCUCAGUGUGAGGAGACUUCAGCACAGCGUGAUCUCUGGCAGCUCAUUCGACAUGUUCACCUGUUAGCCCUCAACUAUUAUUUAGUGAAUGCAUCGACCACAUUAUCUGCAGCAGUGAGUGUCAGAGCAGAUCAUCUGAAGCUUGGAGACGGAGAAGGGGAUGCUCCAGUUUGGAAGGGCUGGACUCAGGAGGCGACCCAACCCAACGAUUGGAUGGCACACACCGCACGCUCUGAACCAAAUCUGCCGGCUGUUAGCCUAACUCACAAGUCCACCACACACACUGACAGUGUUUCCUCCUCUCUACUGAUGCUCCAGGUCUCAGGAACAAUACCAGCACAAAGGAGUAUAGACUUUCUUGUCUGCCUCCUGCUGAAAGGACACGAGGACCAGCUCUGACGGGAGGAUUCACCCUCGAUACAGUUUUCAGUGACAGACACGGAGUUGAUGGAGUUGGUGGGAGAUUGGACACACUCAGAAAGAUGCAAAGGUAUGAAGACAGGCCCUUACUAGGAACAAUUUAUGACUGUACUGUCACCCCAGUAUGUAACACAGUUCUGUAUAAGUGCAUCAUU